AGCGAACGCUGGCGGCAGGCCUAACACAUGCAAGUCGAACGAACUCUUCGGAGUUAGUGGCGGACGGGUGAGUAACACGUGGGAACGUGCCUUUUGGUUCGGAAUAACUCAGGGAAACUUGUGCUAAUACCGAAUGUGCCCUUCGGGGGAAAGAUUUAUCACCAUUAGAGCGGCCCGCGUCUGAUUAGCUAGUUGGUGAGGUAACGGCUCACCAAGGCGACGAUCAGUAGCUGGUCUGAGAGGAUGACCAGCCACACUGGGACUGAGACACGGCCCAGACUCCUACGGGAGGCAGCAGUGGGGAAUCUUGCGCAAUGGGCGAAAGCCUGACGCAGCCAUGCCGCGUGAAUGAUGAAGGUCUUAGGAUUGUAAAAUUCUUUCACCGGGGACGAUAAUGACGGUACCCGGAGAAGAAGCCCCGGCUAACUUCGUG
rnacentral:rRNA from 1 species